rnacentral:rRNA from 1 species
GAUGAACGCUGGCGGCGUGCCUAAUACAUGCAAGUCGAGCGAACAGACGAGGAGCUUGCUCCUCUGACGUUAGCGGCGGACGGGUGAGUAACACGUGGAUAACCUACCUAUAAGACUGGGAUAACUUCGGGAAACCGGAGCUAAUACCGGAUAAUAUAUUGAACCGCAUGGUUCAAUAGUGAAAGACGGUUUUGCUGUCACUUAUAGAUGGAUCCGCGCCGCAUUAGCUAGUUGGUAAGGUAACGGCUUACCAAGGCAACGAUGCGUAGCCGACCUGAGAGGGUGAUCGGCCACACUGGAACUGAGACACGGUCCAGACUCCUACGGGAGGCAGCAGUAGGGAAUCUUCCGCAAUGGGCGAAAGCCUGACGCAGCAACGCCGCGUGAGUGAUGAAGGUCUUCGGAUCGUAAAACUCUGUUAUUAGGGAAGAACAAAUGUGUAAGUAACUAUGCACGUCUUGACGGUACCUAAUCAGAAAGCCACGGCUAACUACGU